CGAACGGGUGAGUAAUACAUCGGAACGUACCUCGUAGUGGGGGAUAACCCGGCGAAAGCCGGACUAAUACCGCAUAUGCUCUACGGAGGAAAGUGGGGGACCUGCAAGGGCCUCACGCUAUGGGAGCGGCCGAUGUCCGAUUAGCUUGUUGGCGGGGUAAAGGCCCACCAAGGCGACGAUCGGUAGCUGGUCUGAGAGGAUGAUCAGCCACACUGGGACUGAGACACGGCCCAG
rnacentral:rRNA from 1 species